rfam:Prevotella sp. CAG:592 genomic scaffold, scf54
UCCGUGGUGACGCGGAAUCUGAAAGAAGUCAGCGGCAAAUAUCUGACCCAACGCACAGAAACUUGAUAUAAGGCUACUUACAGGGAUAAGGCUGCAAAAAGAGUCAAAGUCCAAUAACUACUCGGAACUGCAUGUAGUAAAUCAAGUGGGUAUAAGAUGGAAAGACAAUAUG